UAGUCCACACCGUAAACGAUGAGAGCUAGUUGUCUGCAGGCAUGCCUGUAGGUGACGCAGCUAACGCAAUAAGUUGACCGCCUGGGGAGUACGCCGGCAACGGUAAAACUCAAAGGAAUUGUCGGGGACCCGCACAAGCGGUGGAGCAUGUGGUUUAAUUCGAUGAUACGCGAGGAACCUUACCAGGGCUUAAAUGCAGAACGACAGUUUGGGAAACCAUUCUUUCUUCGGACGGUCUGCAAGGUGCUGCAUGGUUGUCGUCAGCUCGUGCCGUGAGAUGUUGGGUUAAGUCCCGCAACGAGCGCAACCCUCAUCCUUAGUUGCCAUCACGUUUGGGUGGGCACUCUAAGGAAACUGCCGGUGACAAGCCGGAGGGAGGUGGGGAUGACGUCAAGUCCUCAUGGCCCUUACACGCGGGGCUACACACGUGCUACAAUGGCAGUGACAAUGGGAUAAUCCCCAAAAACUGUACUCAGUUCGGAUUGUCGUCUGCAACUCGACGGC
rnacentral:rRNA from 1 species